AGCCGUUGAUGACUUCAAUUACUUUUCUGACACCUCGUAUGAACGCUGUAUUCAGCAGCUGAUUAUACAAUCUAGUCUGAGGCUC